GAGUUUUCCUUUGGAGAUUAUUGACUCUUCCCUAUUGGAGACAUUGAAUUGAAGGUUUCUCUUGGUGCUCAAAGUUGUAAGGUAUCAAACCUAGCACAAUUAAGUAUUUCUCUUUUAAUAUAUAUUUACCAACUCAACUGGUUGAGGUUAACCUUGGAGGGUUUGGCAUUUUCCUUUUAGGAUGUACAACUCUCCUCCACUCCUCCUUCCUAUAAUAUCCAAUGGGAAUUAGUCUACUCACAUAGGCUUUAGGCCUUAUUACCUUAGGAAACCCUCAACCUACAUUCCUCCUUUCUCUAGUAUACAAUGGGUUUUAGCUUACUCAUGGGCUUUGAGCCUUACAUUAACUCUUAACCUUGCCCCUUCAGCGCACUAACUUGAAGUAAUUGAGAGUUGAGUCAUCGGUUCCUUGAGAGGUGACACACAUUUUUUGGUGCCUAGCUGGUGAUGUAAUUAAUAUUUUUCAUAUCAAUUAUGUGUUACUAGUGCCCAUAGUAAUGUGUCAAAUCUUGCCAUUCAAUGGAUGGUUGUCCAUCCGACGAUCAUCAUCAAUUAUGGAUUUCCUAUAUAUACGUAGUGACCUCUAGUCAUGACAAUAGCUUUUUUUUCUCGCAUCUAACUUUAUCAGACCCAAGCAGCCAAGUAGUAGUAAGUUGUCAAGUCCUUCUAUUUGUAGUCAUUUUCCUUGCUAUUUGUUAAUAUGGUUGAGCAACAUUCUCACUCCCCUCCGGGCCCGUGAGCUAAGAUACAUAGUUGGUUGUUGGUUCUCUUCAUCUUGGCUCGUCCUCUUCAUGGAUGUUUGUUUUCAGGCUAACAAGAUAUUUUCAUAGAAUGCUUUUGAUGUUGCCAUGCAUUAUUUGCAGCGGUUGCUUAUGUUGGUGAGAGUACCGUUGAUCCAUUGAAGAUUACUAGACUUUCAAUUUGAAAUAGUUGAACUGCGGUUAAUGAAUUCAAGGGAGCCUGAGUUUACUUCAAGAAGAUUCAAACACAAAUUCAGGAAGUCUAUCUUUAUUCUGAGUUUUUGUUAUAACUUAAAAGAGUUGUUUUACUAGAAGGAAUUCCUUCUUAGUAGUUAGUGAUAAAUUGCUUGUGCUUUUGAAUCUUAAUAAUAUUUCUUAUCUGAGCUAAGAAGCUCUCUCCUGAUGUAUGUGGAAUUCAUCGAAUUGGGUUAAUAAAGCAUUUUGUGAUAUUUCUCUUUCUA